UGGAUGACAGAAGGGAGCGGGAGGAGCUGGGAUGACAUCGCCGCUUGCUAUUUACAGCUUGCCUGGUUGAGCUCUUUCCUCCUGCUCCAGACAUUCUCAGCUGUUGGGCUGAGAUCCUGGUAUGUGCAUAGACCUCCGGCUGCGAAAGGGAAAGGGCUGCAGCUCAGCGGCAGAGCACCUGCUUUGCAUGCAGAAGGCCCUGAGUUCGAUCCCUGGCAAGCAGGAGAACAGUGAGAACAGCAUGCUGAGCUAGUGUCCCAUCCAGAGCUGGAACCACGAGACGGAGACGCGGGUGCAAUUACAUCUUGCUUUAUUAAAGUAAUGGAUACAUCAAAGACAUUGCGCUUCAUAUAGAAACCUGCCUUACUCGCUAGAAAUCCCUAUCUGCACUCUAGACAUGCUCUGCGGUGUGUAAAGGAAGUUGACUCAGCGACUCCCAUCUGUGAGCUGCCAGCUUAAGUAGGGAACAUUUUUGAUCGUAAUCUAUGACUCCUUCGCAAGUCGUGUCUCAGCCCUGUCUGUUUUUUGCAGCGACAGGCGUGAGACAAAAGGGGGCGUGUUUCCAACGGCUCAUCGGAAAACACCUGCUUUUGGACUGCAGGCUCGAGGGAAACGGCUGCAGCUCAGCGGCAGAGCACCUGCUUUGCAUGCAGAAGGCCCUGAGUUUGAUCCCUGGCAAACAGGAGAACAGUGAGAACAGCAUGCUGAGCUAGUGUCCCAUCCAGAGCUGGAACCACGAGACGGAGACGCGGGUGCAAUUAAAUCUUGCUUUAUUAAAGUAAUGGAUACAUCAAAGACAUUGCGCUUCAUAUAGAAACCUGCCUUACUCGCUAGAAAUCCCUAUCUGCACUCUAGACAUGCUCUGCGGUGUGUAAAGGAAGUUGACUCAGCGACUCCCAUCCGUGAGCUGCCAGCUUAAGUAGGGAACGUUUUUGAUCGUAAUCUAUGACUCCUUCGCAAGUCCUGCCUCUGCCCUGUCUGUUUCUCGCGGCGGCGGGCGCGAGACCAAAGGGGGCGUGUUUCCAACGGCUCAAUGGAAAACACCUGCUCUUGGGCUGCAGGCUCAAGGUCAGGAGGAGGCGUCAUGCUGGAAGCGUCCUGGGAACUGCUUGGCAAGGGAGGAGUUGGCAUGAUCUCUGGGGCGCCCCCUCGAGAACAACUGGAGGUGGCGCACUCUCCUCUUCGGAGCUCCCGCCACCUGUGGGAACUGGCUGGAGUUCAGGCUCACUGCCCCCCCCCCAAGGUCCCGAGCAGACUCAAGAACUCCUGGGCCUUCCGCGCCUUCUGGCAGCUGAAGCGCCUGAAACUCAUGCCUCUCCCCUCCCAGCUCCUUCGGGGAGAGCCGAGGCUCAACAGCUAGAUGGGCAACUGGCCUGAGCCAGCCGGCUACCCUUACGUGCUUCUGUCCCACAGACACAAGGCCACACAGCUGUGUACCUUUAUUUCUUGCUUAAUUAUGAGAUUUAUAUCCCGCCUUUCCUCCCGGCAGGAGCCCAGGAAUAGGACUCUGGGGGCUUCUUUUUGAAAGGAAGAACGGGGCGCAAAUUUGGAAAUGCAUGUUG